UCCAAAGGGAACUAUUUGUUUUUCAAAAUUGCAUCAGCAUGUCUUAUGUUGUUGUUGUUAACGUGCCUUGAGAUUGUAAUGAAACAACAAAAGUUGAAUAAACAAUGAUUAUCUCCUCAGUACUGCAGAGGCCUCCCAGGUCUAUCACUCUAUCGCUCCUCUCUACCACUGGACAAAAUUCUAAGCCGGCCAUGCCCCCUAGGUAGACCGGGCUCUCUGCAGCCAGCCGGAGGUCCGGCCGCUGGGACAGGUGGAAGAUCUUAGGAGGGGGGAACGUGUCCCAAUCCCCCUCCUCUCUCUCCAGCCAGCACUCACUACGCCGAGAAGACCGCGUGUCUCUACGCCUGGAGAGAGCAUGGAGCAGGCAUUUGCUGCCAAGUUGCUGAAAUACCAGACCCCUGUGUCACGCCUGAACAGCCUUGGUUAUCAGUGAAAACUUGUAGUGCUGAUAUUUGGGGGUCUCGGCCAGGUUGACAGUACAUGCGUUCAGAUUGCAGGCCUGCAUCGCACAAAGGCAAAGCAUCUGGCGAGGUCCUGCUCUGUGCCAGCGGUCAUGGGCAGCCUUGCUGUAUGGAUAAGAAGACUGCUAUCUAAUUUGUGGAUUAAAAUAAAGCAUUUCAAAUGUGUGUGUGCACUUGCCUGCGUCUGUGAAUGCGUGUGGGUCUGCGCAGUGUACCUGAUC